rnacentral:rRNA from 1 species
CAAUAGCGUAUAUUUUAGUUGUUGCAGUUAAAAAGCUCGUAGUUGAAUUUCUGGUGAGCGAGAGCGGUCCGAUCAAUGAUUGGUGCUUGCUUUCGCUGGCCAUCCUUGGGUUUAGCCAGUCUGGCAUUAAGUUGUCGGGCUGGGGAUGCCCAUCGUUUACUGUGAAAAAAUUAGAGUGUUCAAAGCAGACUUAUGUCGUUGAAUAUAUUAGCAUGGAAUAAUAAGAUAGGACUACAGUGCUAUUUUGUUGGUUUGCGCACCGUGGUAAUGAUGAAUAGGGACAGUUGUGGGUAUUCGUAUUCACUUGUAAGAGGUGAAAUUCUUAGAUUAAGGGAAGACGAACUACUGCGAAAGCAUUUACCAAGGAUGUUUUCAUUAA